rnacentral:tRNA from 2 species
UCAGGAUAGCUCAGCUGGUAGAGCAGAGGACUGAAA